CUCUCCUUUUUCUCCCAUCCAGAACCAAAGACCCAGCUCACUAGCCCCCUCCGGCAGGUCUAGAAACCUGCUAGUGAUGGCACGCGUCGCUGCCGCUAACCUGCGUGGUCUGGUCGGCAUUGGAGCGGCGGGUCGGCGCCGGGUGACCGCCUCCGUCGUGACGCACCGCGCGACACCCGGCGGGCGCGGGUUCCGGGCCGCGGCCUCAGGCUCUGUGGGCAGGACGACGCCUGAAUCCUCCUCUUCGUCCUCGUCGGCUCUACCACAGUUGCAGCCGCGGCGCGGCUUGGCGACGAGACGAGCGGUGCUGCGUGACUUGCUUAGCGGCGGCUUCGAGAGUGAGGAUGGUAAUCUGAGCUGUGGAUAUUCAAGUUUUAAGGGGAGGAGACCUACUAUGGAGGAUCGCUACGACGUAAAGUUCGCUAAAAUUAAGGGACAGACAGUUAGCCUGUUUGGUGUAUUUGAUGGUCAUGCAGGAGCACUUGCUGCUGAAUAUCUAAAGGAACAUCUGCUUGACAACCUUAUCGAGCAUCCUCAGUUCCUGAGAAACCCAAAGCUUGCUCUAAAGACGGCCUUCCUGAAAAGUGAUGCUGAUUUCUUAGAAUCGGUAACCACUCCUUAUAGGGAGGAUGGUUCGACAGCUUUGGCUGCUGUUUUGGUUGGUGAACAACUUUAUGUAGCAAAUGUUGGCGAUUCACGUGCUAUCGCUUUAAAAGGUGGCAAAGCUAUCCCACUCUCAGAUGACCAUAGACCUAACUUAAAGGAUGAGCGAACGAGAAUUGAGAAUGCUGGAGGUGGCGUUAGUUAUGAUGGUUUUACUUGGAGGGUUGAUGGAAUUCUGGCAAUGUCCCGUGCAUUUGGCAACCGUGGAUUGAAGAAUUAUGUGAUAGCAGAGCCUGACAUUCAGACUCAAAUAUCCAUUUCCAUGCAAUUGAGGAAUAAUGAAUUCCCACUUUAUGGACCAUCAACCUGAGAAGAAAGGACGAAUGCCCACUUCACAGACCAUUGACCUGAAUUCAAAUGGAUUUUCCGCAGUCCUUCAUAAACUGCAAUUUCAGUCUGUCUAAUAAAAUUAUGUCGUUUACUGAUUGAUCAUGUUAGAAAAUAUGGGGAUGGUGGCACCUUUAAUCACCUGUGAUCUGGACCAUUGCUUGCUGGAUCAAACAGUUGGAAUUUUAUAAUUGUCCUGUAGAUAGAUAAUUGCCCGUGCGUCACAACAGGUAUAAAUAUUAUAGUAUGUUAGCCUGCAAUUCACCUGCCCGUAUUAAUGUGAUUGUGUAAGGAAAUAUGAUUUUAUUUGGUAAAUACGUAUUGGUAGCACUUAUUGGCUUACCUAAGAAAUCCGAAUUUUAUUUGGGAAGUUAAUAAAAGGUGGGGCAGUUAAGGUGGUUUUUAGGGAAAACCGAUUGAAAGAAACAGAGAUAGGAGGGGGGAAAUCAAAACGGAAAGGGGGAGGGGAGGACGUAAGUAAGGUUGGACCAAAGAUGAGGUGGACGACAGAAUGUUACGUUUUUUUAAGUAGGAGAGAUUUAUUGGAUGAUGGUAGUAGAUUCUUGUUGCAACCUUGACUCCAGUCCUGAAAGCUGUAACUUUAACUUGGGUAUCUAUAUGGGUCUUCCAACUGGAAGUAGAAUAAUCUAGGCUACUUGCGAAACCAAAAGAAAUCAUGUAUGCCAAUAUUUUUAUCAUCCUUCACAUGUUUAUCUGAUAUUCUUAUGGAUGGAUAUUUUCACGUCCUAGUGAGAGACACUCACGUUCACGUCUAUUGCUGUCUGCAGCAAGAACUCAUUUCAGUGAUGCAAGAUAUGAUGUUGUGGUUUUAUCUUAUAGGCAGCAUUCUUUUGUAGAAUUUUUCACAUUUCCUCCUUAAUUUUAGGAGUUUGUGAGGCGGGAGGAAGACUACAUUAAUUUGUCUCUGAGAGAGGAUUCUUUUCCUGGUAUUUUGAGUGGGAAGUGAAAGAGGUGUUGUAUGAAAUGGAGAUGUGAUUUUUUUUCAGGGAAACGAAGAUGGGAGGUUAAGCCCUGUUCUAAUUGUAAUAGAUAAUAUUGCUACGAUUACAUAACAGGGCAUGUUUAACAUCCUUUUUUGGGUGUAACUAUCAUAUGCGGCUCCUUGGCAAGCCUUCAGGAUUUUGCUAUUGAUGUACUCCCUCCGUUCCUAAAUAUUUGUCUUUCUAGAUAUUUCAACCAAGUAACUACAUACGGAGCGAAAUGAGUGAAUCUACACUCUAAAAUAUGUCUAUAUACAUCCGUAUGUGGUAGUCCAUUUAAAAUCUCUAAAAAGACAAAUACUCCCUCUGUAAACUAAUAUAAGAGUGUUUAGAUUACUACUUUAGUAUUCUAAACGCUUUUAUAUUAGUUUAUGGAGGUAGUAUUUAGGAACGGAGGGAGUAGUUGUUUGCCUGGACUCUGGAGAGGAAUGUCAACAUGUAGAUAGGCAGAUUGAAUAACGAUAACCAACAUUGUCAGAAUAUUAUGUGUAUAUCUGGUAACAGUAAAGUCACAACAAUGUUUGUCAUAUUAUACAGCUCAUUUCAGAAGGUUAAUUUAUGAAAAGGGACAAAGGGCCUCAAGCAGUUAACACAACUUCACUGGAAAAUGGAAAUGGAAACGCAGGUCAACAGUGACCUGGAAUACCUGGUUCUCGCUACAGAUGGUCUUUGGGAUUUUGUGCAAAAUGAG